GCGGAGGUCGCCCAGCAUGGCCAAAGGCGCAAGGUUGAGGGCCUUGUCUCUUAGGAGUUCGUGGGUUCAAAUCCCACCCUCCGCACCA
rnacentral:tRNA from 1 species